UUUAUCUUAUAUUUCACCUUCUCUAUGGUCUUGGCUGUUAUUCGGCAGUAUGGGAGUCAGUAAGUUCCUUUUCUUUUAGGUCUGGGGAAACAUUGUACUUGUCAACUCUACAGGGCUAAAUAGAUCUAUUUUACUACUAAGAGUGUGAUGGUCUCUGCUCUUCCACAAUUACAGACAAGGAAGGGAAUCAACAGUUUUGUUUCAAAAGAAGUUACUGAUGUAUUUCUUUACUAGAAAAAAUGCAGGAAGCUUCAAUGUGCUUUUAAAAUAGAGAUGAACUGUAGAGUGAAGCCUAAAGUAAUGGUAAUAUCCCUGAAUCCACCAUGAGAUAUUCUGAGCAGUAUCUUAAGAAAGCACAGUGCGAAUACUUUAUUGGAGUUUGUCUUGCACACAAAUCCAAAAUGUUUCACUGCCAGAGAGACAAAAAGCCAUGCCAUGCAGCCGUAUCUCAUAAUUCUGGAGUGUCAGGUUUGGUGAAAUAUUACUGCAUAUUAUUCCUACAGACUGCAGAUAAAAGGAGCAUACUGGGAACAAGUAAAAUGUCAGAUUCUUGCUUCAGGAGCUUACAGUGGUGGUCCCACCAUCAGCACUAAAUCUCAGCAUGACUGUAUCCUGCAGUGGAAAAUUACUACCCAUUCAGAAAUGUGCCUUGUUGCAUUACAGUCGUAUAUUUGAAGACUCAAACCUCUAUCUGCAGCACAAAGGCAUGCUCAACAAAUGACUUAGCAUCUUUGUUCCUUUAUCACUACACUUUAUGACAGCAUUUGCUACUUGUUAUAAUCAAGGUAUGCUUGUGAAAUUAAUCUUUUUGCUCUUUAGCUUAUAUAAUCAUUAUGCAUCUUCAUUAAAAUGGGAUAUUACAAUUGAUAGCUAUCUGAAUUUGUUUCUAGCUGUGUAUGAAUUAGUCUUUGAAUGAAUGAAUAAAUGAAUUAAUGUUUUUGCA
rnacentral:lncRNA from 1 species